CUCACAGGUUGGAAGGGCAAACUGAUGAACCUGGCAGGUCGCAGAGUGUUGGUGUGCGCCGUCCUCUCUGCACUGCCAACCUAUGCCCUCACAGUGCUCUGGGUGCCCAAGAAGAUUCUCAAAGAGCUGGACAAGGCAAGGCGCAUGUUCCUUUGGGCUCAAGAUGAACCGCUGGCCGGCGGCAAAUGCAAAGAGGCUUGGGAUACAGUGUGCUCGCCGAUCGACAAGGGAGGGCUGGGCAUCCCAAACCUACAGUGCUUUGGCACUGCCCUGUGCCUCUGA
rnacentral:rRNA from 1 species